rnacentral:lncRNA from 1 species
UAAAUGCAAUGAAAAUAUAAUACUCAAAGGAAAGAAGCUUUUGCUAAACAUCCUCAAAGAAUUCCACACUUGAUUGCUGCUAGAGAGUGAUUGGUGGAGUGAUUAAAUGCUUCUUUUCUCUCUUUUAGGAUUGAAUGAGCUUUUCUCGAAUUUGAAAUUGAAUGCUUGUAAAAUCUUAUGAUUUUUUAUUUCAAGAGAGUAUUUAUAGUUACUAUUUACCCUUGAGAAUAUCUUAGAGUUGGUUUAGAGCCAUUGGAGUGUGUUUAAUACGUAUUAAAUGCACCAAAAACUAACUGAAAAC